GCGGGGAGGUGAGGCGAGAGCGCUCGGGAGGGGGGGCUACAAGGCGGCCCUUCUCUCCCUCCUGUGUCGGUCCUCAUCUGGAAUCGGAUCCUGAGAUAUUGGGGGGCCAGUGUGUGGUAAUUCGUCAUGAUUUUGAUUAAUUCCUUCCGUUUUCUCUGUUUCCAUUCAUUGUAAGUGCAAAUUGUUGGAGCGAAAACGUCAUUCGAUCCGCAUUCCCUUCCGAUCCGUUCCUAAUUUGACGGAGUGUAGACUAGCCUGGUUACCUUCUCUCCGGCAUUGGUCGCUUGGUUUGAGAUCCCUUGGGCGUCUGUAGAUUCAAAUCUUCCUGUUGUCCCUUGCUUACAGUUUUUAGUGUCAUUGUUAAUGUUUCUUCGUUUUCCCCGGAAGAUUUAUGUAGAUAAUGUGGCUUCCUUGUUCGUGAGCUCCCUCUUCCGCCGACCGCCGGCCUGGGGCACGGCUCUCCGUAGGGUUCCAGAUUUGGCGUUUCCCAG
rnacentral:lncRNA from 1 species